rnacentral:tRNA from 1 species
CACUAAGAAGCUAAUAUGGGCAUAGCGUUAGCCUUUUAAGCUAAAGAAAGGUGCCCCCCAAGCACCCUUUGUGA